rnacentral:rRNA from 1 species
UCGGGAAUAUUGCGCAAUGGAGGAAACUCUGACGCAGUGACGCCGCGUGCAGGAAGAAGGUUUUCGGAUUGUAAACUGCUUUAGACAGGGAAGAAAAAGACAGUACCUGUAGAAUAAGCUCCGGCUAACUACGUGCCAGCAGCCGCGGUAAUACGUAGGGAGCAAGCGUUAUCCGGAUUUAUUGGGUGUAAAGGGUGCGUAGACGGGAAGACAAGUUAGUUGUGAAAUCCCUCGGCUUAACUGAGGAACUGCAACUAAACUAUACAUUCCUGAGUGCUGGAGAGGAAAGUAGGAAUUCCUAGUGUAGCGGUGAAAUGCGUAGAUAUUAGGAGGAACACCAGUGGCGAAGGCGACUUUCUGGACAGUAACUGACGUUGAGGCACGAAAGUGUGGGGAGCAAACAGGAUUAGAUACC